GCUGGGUGCCAUGGUGUGGCCCUGUAGUCCCAGCUACUCAGGAGGCUGAGGUGGGAGGAUCGCUUGAGCCCAGGAGUUCUGGGCUGCAGUGCGCUAUGCUGAUCGGGUGUCCGCACUAAGUUCAGCAUCAAUAUGGUGACCUCCCGGGAGCAGGAGACCACCAGGUUGCCUAAAGAGGGGUGAACUGGCCCAGGUCAGAAAUGGAGCAGGUCAAAACUCUCGUACUGAUCAGUAGUGGGAUCGAGCCUGUGACUAGCCACUGCACUCCAGCCUGGGCAACAUAGUGAGACCCGUCUCUU
ensembl:misc_RNA Metazoa_SRP Metazoan signal recognition particle RNA